rnacentral:rRNA from 1 species
AAACAAAACGAGAGUCGAUUGGAGGUUGUGCCCUUGAGGCGUGGCUUCCGGAGCUAACGCGUUAAAUCGACCGCCUGGGGAGUACGGCCGCAAGGUUAAAACUCAAAUGAAUUGACGGGGGCCCGCACAAGCGGUGGAGCAUGUGGUUUAAUUCGAUGCAACGCGAAGAACCUUACCUGGUCUUGACAUCCACAGAACUUUCCAGAGAUGGAUUGGUGCCUUCGGGAACUGUGAGACAGGUGCUGCAUGGCUGUCGUCAGCUCGUGUUGUGAAAUGUUGGGUUAAGUCCCGCAACGAGCGCAACCCUUAUCCUUUGUUGCCAGCGGUCCGGCCGGGAACUCAAAGGAGACUGCCAGUGAUAAACUGGAGGAAGGUGGGGAUGACGUCAAGUCAUCAUGGCCCUUACGACCAGGGCUACACACGUGCUACAAUGGCAUAUACAAAGAGAAGCGACCUCGCGAGAGCAAGCGGACCUCAUAAAGUAUGUCGUAGUCCGGAUUGGAGUCUGCAACUCGACUCCAUGAAGUCGGAAUCGCUAGUAAUCGUAGAUCAGAAUGCUACGGUGAAUACGUUCCCGGGCCUUGUACACACCGCCCGUCACACCAUGGGAGUGGGUUGCAAAAGAAGUAGGUAGCUUAACCUUCGGGAGGGCGCUUACCACUUUGUGAUUCAUGACUGGGGUGAAGUCGUAACAAGGUAAAACCGUAAA